CUGCCGUAGGUUCGGGUCGAACGCAGUGAGACAACGGAGCCGUUUACGGCGACGGCCCGAAGGGCGAGCGAAGCGAGUCAUCCUGCACGACCCACCA
rnacentral:sRNA from 1 species